rnacentral:rRNA from 1 species
GACGAACGCUGGCGGCGUGCUUAACACAUGCAAGUCGAACGAUGAAGCCCAGCUUGCUGGGUGGAUUAGUGGCGAACGGGUGAGUAACACGUGAGUAACCUGCCCUGGACUCUGGGAUAACCCCGAGAAAUCGGAGCUAAUCCCGGAUAGGACCUUGGAUCGCAUGAUUCUUGGUGGAAAGUUUUUCGGUUUGGGAUGGACUCGCGGCCUAUCAGCUUGUUGGUGAGGUAAUGGCUCACCAAGGCGUCGACGGGUAGCCGGCCUGAGAGGGUGACCGGCCAAACUGGGACUGAGACACGGCCCAGACUCCUACGGGAGGCAGCAGUGGGGAAUAUUGCACAAUGGGCGCAAGCCUGAUGCAGCAACGCCGCGUGCGGGAUGACGGCCUUCGGGUUGUAAACCGCUUUUAGUAAGGAAGAAGGGGCUUCGGCCUUGACGGUACUUGCAGAAAAAGGACCGGCUAACUACGUGCCAGCCGCCGCGGUAAUAC